UUGUGACAUGUUUAGAAUCAGUUGGAAUGCCAAAGCCUAAAAAACCAGAACAUAUGCUCCAACUUCUGCAGCAUUUCAUCAAACACUCAAACCAAAUCAAACAAAUCCAUUCCCUUCUCACAACCAGUGGCCGUCUCCUCCUUACCUCUCAAUGGAUCAACACACUUCUUUACAACACUCUCAUCAGAGCUUACCUCAACAUUUCCCAGCCUCAAACAACUCUCAUCCUUUUCACACACAUGCUUUUUCAUCAAGCUCAACCAAAUAGCCAUACUUUCCCUUCCCUUAUCAAAGCAGCCUCAUCUUUCCCGCCCCAUUUGGCUUCCCAUAUAGGCAAACCCCUUCACUGUCAAGUCUUGAGAAGAGGGGUGUUGAGUGACCCGUACGUGUGUACAUCUUUUAUUGGGCUGUAUUCUCAGGCGUGUGAACUCGGGAGUGCGCACAAGAUGUUUGAUGAAAUUCCUGAACCAUGUGUUGUUUCGUAUAAUGCGAUCCUUGAUGCUUGUGGGAAAAAUGGGGAUAUGAGUUUGGGUUUUUUGAUGUUUUCUCGCAUGCCUUACAGAGAUGUUUAUUCAUGGACUAGUAUGAUUCAUGGGUACAUGAAGAAUGGGUGCUCUGAAGUUGCUGUUAAGUUUUUCCGGAGAAUGAUCCUUCAUGAGGAUGUGAAGUGUGGUUUAUUGAAGCCAAAUGAGGCUACUUUUGUUAGUGUUCUUUCUUCUUGCACGUUCUUGGAUGUUGGUGUAGCGUUAUAUUUAGGGAGGCAAGUACAUGCUUACAUGGUAAAGAAUGAGGAGUUGAGUGUCUUCAUGACGACCGCGUUGAUUGCAUUUUAUGGGAAGAUGGGUUGUUUCGUAUAUGCUUCAAAGGUGUUCGAUGCAAUGGUUAUCAAGCAGGUUUGUGCUUGGAAUGCUAUGAUUUCUUCCCUAGCUUUGAAUGGUAGAGAGAAGCAGGCAUUAAUGAUGUAUGAGAAGAUGAGAGCAAGGGGGCUGCAACCAAAUGCGAUUACAUUCGUGGCAGUUCUAUCAGCUUGUGCGCGUGCCAAGCUUGUUGAUUUGGGGUUUAAAUUGUUUGAAACAAUGUCGCAUGAAUUUGGAAUUGUACCUAAGAUGGAACAUUAUGGUUGUGUGGUUGAUCUCUUAGGGAGAGCUGGGCUACUGCAGGAAGCAUACGACUUUAUAAAAAAGAUGCCUUUUGAAGCUGAUGCCACUGUCUUGGGUGCGCUGAUGGGUGCUUGUAGACUUCAUGGAGCCAUUGAGCUGGGAAAUGAAGUAGCACAACUAUUGCUUAAGUCGCAACCGAAUCAUUCUGGGCGAUAUGUGCAACUCUCAAGCAUUUAUGCUGGGGCAGAGAAGUGGGAUCAUGCUGCUGCCUUGAGAAAAGCAAUGUUAGAUGCUGGAAUACACAAGGUUCCAGCCCACAGUUUUAUCUAGUAGAGCUGAUAACUGCAGCAGUUUAUAUUUGCUAAAUUUUUUCGAUGAGCCUUGCUUGGUGAUGAAAUCUUUGCUCAUCAGAAUCACCUAAAAGGAUCCUGCAUAUGGGUUUUGCACAGAGAUUGAAGCACUGGGAAAGAAAGCAGAAGUCACAGCAGAUAAAAGUACAUUCACUUUUGAGGUUGAAUUUAUCUUUGAGCUCAAGCUAACUUAGAUUGACUGAUCAAGGAAAAGAUAGAUUUUUGUGAAAGUGCACGGCAAACAUGGUUCCAAAUCUGCUUGACGAGUUUUUUGCAGGUAUCAUUAUGCAAGUUGUUGUUUCAAGCUACUGUUUUUGGACAGGGGAUUCUUAGUAGCUUGAAAAGAAUAGGUGUCAAUGCCAUUCCUGCUAUUGAAGAAGUCAACAU